rnacentral:rRNA from 1 species
UAGGGAAUCUUCCGCAAUGGACGAAAGUCUGACGGAGCAACGCCGCGUGAGUGAAGAAGGAUUUCGGUUCGUAAAACUCUGUUGUUAGGGAAGAAAAAAUGUAUAGUAACUAUAUACAAAAGAGACGGUACCUAACCAGAAAGCCACGGCUAACUACGUGCCAGCAGCCGCGGUAAUACGUAGGUGGCAAGCGUUGUCCGGAAUUAUUGGGCGUAAAGCGCGCGCAGGUGGUUUAGAAAGUCUGAUGUGAAAGCCCACGGCUCAACCGUGGAGGGUCAUUGGAAACUAAUAAACUUGGGUGCAGGAGAGAAAAGUGGAAUUCCUAGUGUAGCGGUGAAAUGCGUAGAGAUUAGGAGGAACACCGGUGGCGAAAGCGGCUUUUUGGCCUGCAACUGACACUGAGGCGCGAAAGCGUGGGGAGCAAACAGG